CUGGUUUCGUGCAUUUUGCUGAUCUUACAUUUGGAUGAGUAUAUGAAGUUAAAGCAUCUCAAAUUUUAUCAAAGUUGGUCGAUUUCAAACCAGUGGAAGAUGGUUAUGGUUAUUACAUGGAUUGUUAUGUCAAUAUGUAAUAUUCCACAGUUAAUCUACCAAGAGGUGCGGAGAUAUGCAACAAGAGAGGGGGAGUUUGUUUGCA